rnacentral:rRNA from 1 species
CCUACGGGUGGCAGCAGUGAGGAAUAUUGGUCAAUGGGCGAGAGCCUGAACCAGCCAAGUCGCGUGAAGGAUGACGGCCCUACGGGUUGUAAACUUCUUUUGUCAGGGAGCAAUUGAGUCCACGUGUGGUCUUAGCGAGAGUACCUGAAGAAAAAGCAUCGGCUAACUCCGUGCCAGCAGCCGCGGUAAUACGGAGGAUGCGAGCGUUAUCCGGAUUUAUUGGGUUUAAAGGGUGCGUAGGCGGAAUAUCAAGUCAGCGGUAAAAAUUCGGGGCUCAACCCCGUCGUGCCGUUGAAACUGUUUUUCUUGAGUACUGGAGAGGCAGACGGAAUUCCUAGUGUAGCGGUGAAAUGCGUAGAUAUUAGGAGGAACACCAGUGGCGAAGGCGGUCUGCUGGACAGCAACUGACGCUGAGGCGCGAAAGCGUGGGGAGCAAACAGGAUUAGAUACCCGGGUAGUC